rnacentral:rRNA from 1 species
CAGCAGCCGCGGGAAUACAGAGGGUGCGAGCGUUAAUCGGAUUUACUGGGCGUAAAGCGUGCGUAGGCGGCUUUUUAAGUCGGAUGUGAAAUCCCUGAGAUUAACUUAGGAAUUGCAUUCGAUACUGGGAAGCUAGAGUAUGGGAGAGGAUGGUAGAAUUCCAGGUGUAGCGGUGAAAUGCGUAGAGAUCUGGAGGAAUACCGAUGGCGAAGGCAGCCAUCUGGCCUAAUACUGACGCUGAGGUACGAAAGCAUGGGGAGCAAACAGGAUUAGAUACCCGGGUAGUCCCUGUCUCUUAUAC